rnacentral:rRNA from 1 species
UACGUAGGGAGCAAGCGUUGUCCGGAAUCAUUGGGCGUAAAGCGCACGUAGGUGGCGACGUAAGUCGGGUGUGAAAGCCCCGGGCUCAACCUGGGAAUUGCAUUCGAGACUGCAUUGCUGGAGUACGGAAGAGGAGGGCGGAAUUCCCGGUGUAGCGGUGAAAUGCGUAGAUAUCGGGAGGAACAUCAGUGGCGAAGGCGGCCCUCUGGUCCAGUACUGACACUCAAGUGCGAAAGCGUGGGGAGCAAACAGG